rnacentral:misc_RNA from 1 species
GAUGAAGAACGUAGCGAAAUGCGAUAAGUAAUGUGAAUUGCAGAAUUCAGUGAAUCAUCGAAUCUUUGAACGCACAUUGCGCCCGCUGGUAUUCCGGCGGGCAUGCCUGUUCGAGCGUCAUUUCAACCCUCAAGCCCCCGGGUUUGGUGUUGGGGAUCGGCUCUGCCUUCUGGCGGUGCCGCCCCCGAAAUACAUUGGCGGUCUCGCUGCAGCCUCCAUUGCGUAGUAGCUAACACCUCGCAACUGGAACGCGGCGCGACCAUGCCGUAAAACCCCAACUUCUGAAUGUUGACCUCGGAUCAGGUAGGAAUACCCGCUGAACUUAAGCAUAUCAAUAAGCGGAGGA